UGUGUGUGUGUGUGUGUGUGUGUGUGUGUGUGUGUGUAUAUAUAUACAUAUAUAUACACAUGCAUACAUUAUAUAUAAU